rnacentral:rRNA from 1 species
AAGCUGGAAUUGCUAGUAAUCACAGGUCAGCAUACUGUGGUGAAUACGUUCCCGGGCCUUGUACACACCGCCCGUCACACCAUGAGAGUUGAGAAUACCCGAAGCCCAUGUCAAAGUGGUCGAAGGUAGGCUUGAUGAUUGGGGUGAAGUCGUAACAAGGUACC